rnacentral:lncRNA from 1 species
UUUUUUAUAAGAACAUUCAAUACUAUUUACAAAUUAAAUGAAUUAACAUUAAAAUUACAUUGUUUUAGCUAAAUAACAUCUUUAUGAACUGCUUCAAACUGCUCUUGAUUUGGAGCUCCUUCACAAAAACUUGAUUAAACACUUGGAGCAACAUUCUUUUGGCUCCUUUUUGCCUUUGCUUCACCUGCUUCACAAAUACAAUUAUGAUUACAAAGAGUAUAAAUACAUCACAUUUUUACUAGCAUAUUUCUAAUUACAAGCAUAUACCAUUUGACCAUUUGCAUUUGUUACUAGAAAUGUGCAAGACCAAACGAUAUGUAAUUAAAUUAAACUUCAAUAUUCUCUCAAACAUUUCAUCGAGCACCUGUAGUGCACAACUUGUUCUUCUUAAAUUACUACCACCAGAUGUAUACUAUCCAUCCACUCUUUAGACAUCCAAUUCAGAGAAGAAAGGAAACAUAUACAUGGUUGGAAGCAAAUCAAAAUAACAAAAAUCAGAUUUUUCAUUGACAUGCAUCAAAUCAACAUAAACUUACAAGAAUUAGGUCGAACUCAAAGCCAAUGCCAUGAAUAUUUUUAGGAGCUCCAUGGUUCGGUGCUUCAAGAGGUGAAGAAGUGAAAUAAAAUAUGGGUUCUGUUAUUUGGGGAGAUUAGGUAAAAAUUCUUUACAUCUCAGCAACAAUAUUGGUACUCAAAGCAGAAAUUUGGUACUACACAACAUAAAAUCGGUACUAAAAUAAGAAAUCAGAAAAAAAAAACCUAACUUGUCGAUGUUGACGAUGACAGCAAAGAACGAGCACCGGGCAGCAGCAGUGGCGACCGGCGAGAGGCAGCGGCGACCGACGAGCGGCUGGAGUCGGCGAUUGACGAGAGAAAGCUGAGAAUGAAGAAGGAGAACGAACGAAGAAGGAGAACGGCUGGAGCGAUCUUCCGUGUUUUUUUUUUUUUUUUUUUUUUGUUUUGUUUUGUUUUGUUUUGUUUUGUUUAGGGCGUUUUUUUUGUUUAUUAGGUUAGAAGAGGCGAGAAGAGCCAAGCUCAAUGUUGUGUGGGGAAGAGGACAGGAAGAGGUUUUGGAGCCCGAAGUCUUUUAGAAAACAAACUGCUACGAACUUAAAAGUGUUGCGCGUGUGCUGCGCCGCGCAGCACUAAGAGGUCUGAAGAGGUAUUUUUAAAAAAACAAACACCACCUUAAUUAGGUGCGUUUCCUUCACUUCUGUCCGUUUUGUUUCGUUUGGGGUGCUGUGGGUUAAACUGCACGAUCACUUUGUCGAGUUGCGGCAAUUGCGAGAGUGAACAGAGAGAAACUGUGGGUUUGUGCAUGUUCCGACAAGGGUUACAUUUUCCAGCGACCUACUCCUGCAAACCGAUCACGAUCUCAAGUUUUGCUACAUCUGCGACUGGAAGGAAACGAGAGGGAGCGGGAAGAGAGUUACUGAUCGAAACAAAAAAAAAAAAAACGAGACGUCGACUAGUAAGUUCUUGAUCCCCAAACCUCCCAUGUUUCCUGUUCAUCCAUGACUUAUAUCUCUCUGUCAGUGGUGAAUCUAGAACAAAAAAUCACAUGGUUUCCAAAUUAAGUGGAGCUAAUAAAAAAAAUUCAACAACACUUUUAGGGGUUGGGUCGGGUCGGAUCGUGUACCUUAAAAAAACUGGACCAAUUGGUUCAAUCGAUUAAAACCGAUCACGUGCCACCGAUAAAAAAUUUUAAAAACCGAUUGAAAUAUAACUGUCGUACGAUUUAACGAAAAACUAGUUGAUUAUUAGUCCAUUGAUAAAGUGGCGAACGGAAAAUGACAGUCUUUGAUAUAUGGCUUCUUUUUUUUAUUAGAGCAAUUUAUUUAUUUAUUGAUAUUUUGAGAAUGUUGAAUAAGACUAGUUAACUUUUUGUUAUCAAUCUCAUAAUUAAAAAUAACAAAUUGUCCCUAAUAAUUUAUAUUUUUCUCUUUUUAAAAUAAUUUUUUAAGAUAUCUCUAAAACAAAUUCAAGGUAAAUCCUCUAUUUUUUUCUAAGAUAAUUUCUAAUUUUUCUACUAUACAUAUUGAAAAUGAAAUUGAGAAUUUAGAUAGUUCCUAAGACCUACCUAUCCCCUUCAUACAUACGCCCCUGCUCGUUGCUAAAAUACUACAUGUAGCCCUUCUGUCCUUCCCUAUUAUUGGCACCUGUUGCGAACUUGCUGCUCCAAAUCCUCGAAGAGAAGAAAUUUACGGGUAAAAAAAUUGGAGCGCAUAUGUGCUUAAGGUUAGAAGUGUAGCACUAUGUGCUCCUGGAACUCAUUCACAUGAAACCGUUUUAAUGCUUGAGUCUGCUGCCCGAUUUCCCAAUUCUUCCGAAACACGCAACAUAAGAAAAAAAGAAAUAACAACAAAUAGGUUGUGUGUGGAUUGCAUAACACACCUCAAAUUUGGCCAUGAUUGACUCUCGUUUGUGGUGGAUAAACGAACCUGGUUAAUAUGGACCUUUUUAGUUAACAAGUGAGUUGGAACCAUUAAAUUCUAGACCACGAC